GCGCCCUGUAAAGACCCCAGUCCCUGUAACAUGUUCUGGUGCCUGACCCACUUUUUCAGAAAGGAAUGGCAUUUCCAGUCUCACUGCAGCAUGAAGCUAACAUUUCCCUUUGGAAAUUGGACACAGUGACCCCAAUUCGUGUGACUGAGAAUUUAGAGAAGUAGCCAGCUUAUAGAAGAUGCUCAAUAAAAUGCAGUAAAUGGAGUCUUGAAUCCAGAAAAUGUCACAAAUCAAUGUGAACUCCUUUUCAUAAGAAUGGGUCCCAAUGCUAUUGGUGUUCAUCAGAAGGACAAGAGGAAGAAGGGUGAGAGAGUUUUUUUAAGAACCCAAAAAGUCAAAAUCAGAUCAUUAGGGAUGUAGAUAGCUCCAAAUUUUUCCUGGCUUCCUCUGAAUAACUGCCAUGUUUUUAACAUUAACUCUGCUAUCUAUCUUGCUGACAAUUCCUUUCCUGCUCAUAGAAAUGGUUGAAAUCUGCCCCCUCUGUUCUUCAACCCCUACCACUAGGACUGGGGUCCUGGAAGGAUUCUAAUAUUAUCAGAAUCAAAUAUGAUUCUGUUUCCUAUUUGGGGUAAGGAAGUAGCAUGGUGAAAAGUAAAUAAUUCCAUGUUUAGAAUUUGUGGCCUGAACUAGAGUCCCU
rnacentral:lncRNA from 1 species